CCUACGGGUGGCAGCAGUGGGGGAUAUUGCACAAUGGGGGAAACCCUGAUGCAGCGACGCCGCGUGUGGGAAGACGGUCCUAUGGAUUGUAAACCACUGUCCCCAGGGACGAAGAUGACGGUACCUGGGGAGGAAGCUCCGGCUAACUACGUGCCAGCAGCCGCGGUAAUACGUAGGGAGCAAGCGUUGUCCGGAAUUACUGGGUGUAAAGGGAGCGUAGGCGGGAUGGCAAGUUGGGUGUUAAAUCUACCGGCUCAACUGGUAGUCGCACUCAAAACUGCUAUUCUUGAGUGAAGUAGAGGCAGGCGGAAUUCCUGGUGUAGCGGUGAAAUGCAUAGAUAUUAGGAAGAACACCAGUGGCGAAGGCAGCCUGCUGGGCUUUUACUGACGCUGAGGCUCGAAAGUGUGGGGAGCGAACAGGAUUAGAUACCCUUGUAGUC
rnacentral:rRNA from 1 species